UACGUAGGGUGCAAGCGUUGUCCGGAAUUAUUGGGCGUAAAGAGCUCGUAGGCGGUUUGUCGCGUCUGCUGUGAAAACUCAGGGCUUAACCCUGAGCUUGCAGUGGGUACGGGCAGACUAGAGUGCGGUAGGGGAGGCUGGAAUUCCUGGUGUAGCGGUGAAAUGCGCAGAUAUCAGGAGGAACACCGGUGGCGAAGGCGGGUCUCUGGGCCGUAACUGACGCUGAGGAGCGAAAGCAUGGGGAGCGAACAGG
rnacentral:rRNA from 1 species